rnacentral:rRNA from 1 species
UGGUGGAGUGAUUUGUCUGGUUAAUUCCGUUAACGAACGAGACCUCGACCUGCUAAAUAGUUCGGGAAAUUCUCCGGGAUUUCUACGUGACUUCUUAGAGGGACUAUCGGUGUGUAGCCGAUGGAAGUUCGAGGCAAUAACA